rnacentral:rRNA from 1 species
AUUGAACGCUUGCGGAAUGCUUUACACAUGCAAGUCGAGCGGCAGCACGGGGGCAACCCUGGUGGCGAGCGGCGAACGGGUGAGUAAUACAUCGGAACAUGCCCAGUCGUGGGGGAUAACACUUCGAAAGAAGUGCUAAUACCGCAUACGUCCUGAGGGGGAAAGCGGGGGAUCGCAAGACCUCGCGCGAUUGGAGUGGCCGAUGUCAGAUUAGCUAGUUGGUGGGGUAAAGGCCUACCAAGGCAACGAUCUGUAGCUGUCUGAGAGGAUGAUCAGCCACACUGGGACUGAGACACGGCCCAGACUCCUACGGGAGGCAGCAGUGGGGAAUUUUGGACAAUGGGGGCAACCCUGAUCCAGCCAUUCCGCGUGAGUGAAGAAGGCCUUCGGGUUGUAAAGCUCUUUCGGCAGGAACGAAACGGUGAGCUCUAACAUAGCUUGCUAAUGACGGUACCUGAAGAAGAAGCACCGGCUAACUACGUG